rnacentral:rRNA from 1 species
AGCGAACGUUAGCGGCGGGCUUAACACAUGCAAGUCGCACGAGAACCUUCUUCGGAAGGCGUAAAGUGGCGCACGGGUGCGUAACACGUAGGUAAUCUGCCCUUCGGCGGGGGAGUAACGUUCCGAAAGGAACGCUAAUACCGCAUAAGACCACGGCCUCUAUGGGGGCGUGAGGUCAAAGCUGGCCUCUUCAUGAAAGCUAGCACCGAAGAAUGAGCCUGCGGCCCAUCAGCUAGUUGGCGAGGUAAUGGCUCACCAAGGCGAAGACGGGUAGCUGGUCUGAGAGGAUGAUCAGCCACACUGGCACUGAAACACGGGCCAGACUCCUACGGGAGGCAGCAGUGGGGAAUAUUGGACAAUGGGCGCAAGCCUGAUCCAGCCACGCCGCGUGAGUGAUGAAGGCCUCGGGUUGUAAAG